UGAAUGUUUUUCUGUUUGAGCCAUAAUUUCAGUGUUGGGAACAAUUUUAGAGAUCAUGUAGUGCAUCCUUCUCAGAAGCUUUGGUGGACCGCCCCAGUACUGCCCAGGGCCUGGCAGAACUGAACUUGAACGGCCACUCUGUCUCCAGGAUCCACCCACCAGCCAAGCCUUACCACACUUUGUUUACUUUUUGACCUGAUCUAGGACACACUAGAUCUUGAUUUAAUAACCAUUUAAACCCUUUGAGAAAUGGCUUGUUAUCUUGCUUUGCUUAGUUACUGCAAUCAAAUCUGCACUGUCUCCUGUGUACAUUAUCCAUAUAUACUUAUGAAUAUUUGAAACCAUAGACCAAGAAGGGGCUUAGAGAUUAUCUAGUACAAUCUCCUUGGGUUGCAGAUGGAGAAAAUGAGAACUUAAGCGACUGGUUUGAGGCCACACGGCUAGUCAGCUGAAGCUUUGAGUACCUAUUCCAGCUGGCGUAACCUUGAGUCUGGUCCUCUUAUUACUGUUAUUUCCGGUGUAUUGUACAUUUCCAAGGGGAUGGUCAGGUGUUCAAACAAGGAGCCAAACAUUGCCCAGGCCUGGUGACUUUUGUUCCAGUUGCCUUAUGGGUGGUUGGGAUGUUGACAAGGCAUAAAUAUUUGCCAAAGAAUCAUGAAUAAACUCAGCUGGGAUUAAACUUUGAUAUGCAAAUGAAGGGGUGGUUAUAACAUGAGAAACAUUUCUUCUAAAAUAAAAUUUAAAAAGUUAUAAAACACACAGGGUCAGGUGAGCCAUUUAAGAAAACAACACUCUCCAUGAUGUCUCAUUGCUUUGGGAAUGUGACAUUGGGACUGGAGCUUUGAUGAUCUCUGUGAAGAAUAAGGGCAGGAGGAAAGACGGCUGCCUGUCAACAGUAACAUGCAGACAAAUGAAAACCUGCGCUGUGUCCUGAGAGUUUUAGGUAAUCCAGGCUCAUAAUUUGAUUUGAGAAGAGCUACUCCAGGCUACUGUGUAAUUAUAGAAGCAUUCACUCGGCUGGCUCCUGUUCGCCUCAUCACAUUCUACUUCAUUGCCCUUUAUGCUAAAGCCCCUGUUGAUGAGAGGGCGGAAACAGUGCUGUGAUCAUUUCUGACUGAGAAUUUCUCCUGAACUCUCUUGAAAGGAAAACCUGCCAGAAAUGGAAAAAUCCAUUGGAAAACCUUCUUCUCGUGCUGUUAUCAAGAUAUUCAAAGGCUCCUCCAUCUGGGAAGCAGGGAUGAAGCAGCAAAGAAGGAGGAAACUCAGGAACAUCCAUUACUGACUGAGGCCGCACAAGUGGAGGCCGCAUCUGAAGGAUGGGGACAUGCUUCCAGUGACAUUAUCUGGAGUAUCAACAAUUUUUCCAUCUGUUUCUCAUCAUUUGCAAGAUUUUUUUAAAG